AUUUAAUUAUUGUAGGUAUUUCUCUUUAUACAAAUAGUAUAUUUUCAUUAAAACACAGUACAUUAAAUCAUCUGUUCUUUCCAUUUCCUUUAAUAAAACGUUUUUACACCUGUUUUUAAAACCUGUAAUAGAUCCCCAGUAUUUCUCGUAAUCUGGUCAUCUGGUGAAACGUUUGGGCCCCACACAUUGAAUGGAUUUAGAUCCAAAAUUGCCAUAUAUUGUAUGAAUUUUGACUGAAUUUAAAUAUGACACUUAUUAUUUCGUUGUCUCAACUGAGUUUCUUCAAAUGAGUGAAACAGCGCCUCCCUCAGUUUUAACGGCUGGACAAUGUCCCCCAGUCUUUGUGGUGAAAGAUGGCAUUGCACCCUUAAAGUCGAGGCAGUCGCGUGGAGUCUACUGAAGGACAGCCAGGUGCAGUUGCCAAGUUUUGAUUAAAAAAAAAAGAAGUUAAAUAUAAUAAUAAAGAAACAGGUGAGGACACGGGUCAUGCUCUCUGAAGUGAAGCUCUGAAAUGAAUUGUGAAGACAGUUGUACUCAAGCUCUCACAACAAACUACCAACAGUUAGCUUGUUUACUAACAUUAAGUAUGUUUGUAAGACUAGUUAGCUAGACAGCUAGAAGGGAGAGAUGAAGCACUGGUGCAGUGGGACAUUAAGUAUGGAUAUGGACCAUUUCAUCUACAUAAAAGAAAGGUUUUACUUUCACAUCAAAUAAGAUGAGGUUGUUGUUUUGUGACCAUGAGUCUCAUGUACGUGUCCCUCAGACUGCGAGACUGAAACACCAUGGUUGUUAUCAACACAACAAGAACAGGCAUCGUAUGAGAUAGUGGAUUGCCCCAUCAGGAGCCUCAGCCCUGGGCUUGGGAAAAAGCUGUGAGAGUCAGAGAGGCUUAAGAAACUCCUUCAUCACUGCACUUUCACUCUGGGUGUGAAAUAAAUGACAUGUACUUCCUUUUAUCUGAAUGUCAUGAAAUAUUCUGACUGGCACUUGUUCUAACUCCGGGUAUGUGCUUGUUUCUUUGCUCAUAUUUUUGUUACUGUAUUUACCCAAAAUAUGAAUAGUCAUAUGAUGCUAUAUACUUUUUUGUGUUACCGUAACAUCUUCUCAUGGGUGUACUUCCUUAUGUUGAGAUUUAAUAUUCUCUCUGGUGCUACACUCACACAAAACAUCUUGAAUCAAUAUAGCUUAGGUAUUAGAGACACCUAAGCACACACAUCCUGCUUCUACUGCAUUUGUAAUUGUCUCUUGCUCAACUUUUCCCUUUCCUUCCCUUUUUCUCUGUAUGUUCCACCUUCCCAGACAGCUUUAUGUCAUUCCCAGGAUCCUUUGAUUCACGUUUUUAGGGCUACAGAGAGCACAAAUGAAAGAAGAGAGAUGUGAAACUAGUUCAGUUUAUGGAUCAAGCCUCCUCUCCCUUCCUUUCCAUUUACUGCAACACAGGCACAAUUCAAUAAAUCAGAACACCACAGUCCUCCUUACAGAGAUGAUUAAGACUAAAAAUACAGAUCACCAAUCACAUGAAGCGACCAAGCUAUGCACGUCAUUGAGGGACUAAUGAUCACCAGUCCACUCGAGAAUACAGUGCUGCAUGCUUCCAUCUGUGUUUCCCCUUGAGGUGUUUUUGUACAAGCGAUAUACGUCUCCAGUUGUUCUUCAGAGAGGGGCAUCCUGCAAGCAUCCUGCAAGCAUCCUGCUCCCCUGCGGAGCGUCCCCCUUCAGGCUAUCUCCCGCCCACUCUCUCCCCUUCAUCCCUCCCCCUCCCUGGGGCUCCAGUGAGACAGGACGCCAGCAGCUGUUCUCACAGCACCCUGGACCAUUUCACACAACUGGCAUUAUGCCAUCAUUACAUCUCAUCAAAGUAACCCCUGCCUACCUCUACUCAUGUCCGACUCUGGCCCCACUAGACCUACUCUCUCACACAUCUGUCACGGCUGCACACACACGUGCAUCCACACACACUGGCUGGAUAAAAACUCUUUUGGGAAAGCAGGAUUCUGAAUCACGGUUGUUUCAAAGGCUGAUGUAGCACAGCAGUGAGCAUAAAUGCAUUUAAUCUCAGUAACCCAUGCUUCCUUGGGGGUAGCAGUGAUUCGAACCGUUCUUGACAUUAAUCUCAAUCAGCUCAGCCCGAACUGUCUGACAUCAGACACUGGCAGCCAGAGCAUUUGGGGUUCCCGCUUGCUCUACACUGACUGAAAGAAGGGAUCGCAAAGACCACGUGAUUGUUUUCUUUUUUAUAUCUUGACACUUUUUGUAUUAAUGCCCCCACAACAUAGUGUUUUGUAAUCUACUGCAGUAAAUUAAGGUUAAUGUUGGGGUAUGUUUUGGGCUUAGUCUUGAUUCUGUCUCUCCUGUUACCUCUUCAUAUCUUUAUGUCACUCUGAUCCUGUGGCUGAUGCUCCACAAUCCGCUCAAUGUCUGAGUGAUGCAAAGACAAUGUCAACUGAAUGCAGACUUUCACAAACCUUCCACUGCCAGUGCUCACAUGCCCUCUUUUUUUCUCUCUCCACCCUCAAAACUGCCUCUCACUCACUCACUCACUCACUCACUCACCCACAUUAACUAGAUUUCAUUGCCACUACCUAAAUUGAAUAAGCAUCUCUGACAUGAGAUAUGAUGCUGAACAAAAUAAGAUUAUGACAGCUUGUGUAUACAAGCAUGUUAGUGACUUUCACCUCUUGAAAAUUGUCCAUAUCAGAAAGGUUCUCCAUCAUAAAAAACAUCACGCUAGCUGGAAAUGAAAAUGAUCUCCUGAUUCUAAAUUAGAUUAUUCUAUUUUCUGGUAGCCUCUACUCUACUCUAAAUCUACUGUCAUCUGGAGCUAUG